AUCAUCGUUUUUCUACCCCAAACCACCGGCAUCGCUUAGUGUCUCCGUCGUCUUCUGAUUUUCCUCCGAAUCGAAGAAGAAAGGCAACCAAAUCAUGGUCCUCCGAAUUCGUGGUUUUCUGAUUCUUCCGGGCGCUCCUUACGCGUACUGCAGCCUGAGCGCGCGGCGCUCUCGAUUGAUUCCGUGGUCUGAUCUCCCGCGAAUCGCAAUCCAAUGGUGGCGAUGGCAUUGCGGCAGAACCAAUCAGCGAAUGUGGAUCUCUUGGAUGCGUAUUUCCGAGGGGCCGAUUUGGACCGCGAUGGCCGGAUUAGUGGCAAUGAAGUCGUCGCUUUCUUCCAGGGCUCUGGUCACCCAAACAGGUCCUUGCUCAGGCUCAAUCAAUCAUAUUUUUCUGCGAGAUGCUUUGCUGCUGGAUGUUCAUUCGUUGCAUGAUGUGUUCGUAUUUUGAUGUAAAAACUUACAUAUGCCAUAGAUAUUUUGUAGAUAUAAAAUUUAAUUUUUCAUUGGGAGUAAUCUUUUGCUGGCCAAUUGACGUACGAACAUCCAUAAAUGUAUACUUUUAAAUUGAGUCAUGUCUAAAUGUGCAGUCUAGAUUGAUAGAAUGACUACCCAUCAUGCCGCAUUAUCUUUGAUGGAGCGGUUUAGGGAGGGACGCCCUCUUCCAGCAGUGCUACCAAGCAAUGUUAUGUUUGAUAAAUCCAAUAUUUUUGAACCUGCAAAUAAUUACUCCAAUGCUGGCAAUGUAGCCUGGAGACCUGCUUCUGGCUUUCAACAACAGCAACUGAUGCCUGGUCUUGGUGCUCAGCACAUGGCACCCCUAGCUGGAGGCAGGCCACCGAAGACGGUUGCUCCUUCUCAUGCUGAGGAAAAGCAGCAGGCCAAUUAGCGGAAACCCAGAGUACUGGAAUUGGAGAAACAUCUUGUAGAUCAACUGAGUACAGAGGAGGUUAACUCACUAAACUCAAAGUUCAAAGAAGCAACCGAAGCUGAUAAAAAGACUCAUCACUUGAUCCACGACCCUUGGAAUCAUCAUCUUGUCUUGUUUCUUCUUCUACUUUUGGUCCCCUCGACUUGAACACAUGACCAAAAUUGAAUUUCUCAGCAUCUUCCGCAUACAAUGGGCAUAUACCACAGCUUU